GAUGAACGCUGGCGGCGUGCCUAAUACAUGCAAGUCGAGCGAACAGAUGAGGAGCUUGCUCCUCUGACGUUAGCGGCGGACGGGUGAGUAACACGUGGAUAACCUACCUAUAAGACUGGGAUAACUUCGGGAAACCGGAGCUACUACCGGAUAAUAUAUUGAACCGCAUGGUUCAAUAGUGAAAGACGGUUUUGCUGUCACUUAUAGCUGGAUCCGCGCCGCAUUAGCUAGUUGGUAAGGUAACGGCUUACCAAGGCAACGAUGCGUAGCCGGCCUGAGAGGAGGAGCAGCAACAGUGGAACUGAGACAGGGGCCAGAGACGUACGGGAGGAAGAAGGGGGGAAGAGUGGAGAAUGGGAGAAAGUCAGAAACAGCAAGAAAGAGGGGGUGAAGAAGGCGUUAGGGUUGUAAAGCCCGUUUGUUGGGAAAGAAAAGCAGGAGGUGAAUAACCAGCUGUUAUGACGGUAACCAAAGAAGAAGCAACGGCUAAUUUCGUG
rnacentral:rRNA from 1 species